UCGCGGCCUAUCAGCUUGUUGGUGGGGUGAUGGCCUACCAAGGCGACGGCGGGUAGCCGGCCUGAGAGGGCGACCGGCCACACUGGGACUGAGACACGGCCCAGACUCCUACGGGAGGCAGCAGUGGGGAAUAUUGCACAAUGGGCGCAAGCCUGAUGCAGCGACGCCGCGUGGGGGAUGACGGCCUUCGGGUUGUAAACCUCUUUCGUCAGGGAAGAAGCCUUUUUGGGGUGACGGUAUCUGGAGAAGAAGCACCGGCUAACUACGUGCCAGCAGCCGCGGUAAUACGUAGGGUGCGAGCGUUGUCCGGAAUUAUUGGGCGUAAAGAGCUUGUAGGCGGUUUGUCGCGUCUGCGGUGAAAACCCGGGGCUUAACCUUGGGCGUGCCGUGGGUACGGGCAGGCUAGAGUGUGGUAGGGGAGACUGGAAUUCCUGGUGUAGCGGUGAAAUGCGCAGAUAUCAGGAGGAACACCGAUGGCGAAGGCAGGUCUCCGGGCCAUAACUGACGCUGAGAAGCGAAAGCAUGGGGAGCGAACAGGAUUAGAUACCCUGGUAGUCCAUGCCGUAAACGUUGGGCGCUAGGUGUGGGGCUCAUUCCACGAGUUCUGUGCCGCAGCUAACGCAUUAAGCGCCCCGCCUGGGGAGUACGG
rnacentral:rRNA from 1 species